rnacentral:rRNA from 1 species
UAUCAGAGAGACAACAGGGAUUGCCCUAGUAACGGCGAGUGAAGCGGCAACAGCUCAAAUUUGAAAUCUGGCGUCUUUGGCGUCCGAGUUGUAAUUUGCAGAGGGCGCUUUGGCAUCGGCAGCGGUCCAAGUUCCUUGGAACAGGACGUCACAGAGGGUGAGAAUCCCGUACGUGAUCGCUAGCCUUUACCGUGUAAAGCCCCUUCGACGAGUCGAGUUGUUUGGGAAUGCAGCUCUAAAUGGGAGGUAAAUUUCUUCUAAAGCUAAAUACUGGCCAGAGACCGAUAGCGCACAAGUAGAGUGAUCGAAAGAUGAAAAGCACUUUGGAAAGAGAGUUAAAAAGCACGUGAAAUUGUUGAAAGGGAAGCGCUUGCAGCCAGACUUGCCUGUAGUUGCUCAUCCGGGUUUCUACCCGGUGCACUCUUCUAUAGGCAGGCCAGCAUCAGUUUGGGCGGUUGGAUAAAGGUCUCUGUCAUGUACCUCUCUUCGGGGAGAACUUAUAGGGGAGACGACAUGCAACCAGCCCGGACUGAGGUCCGCGCAUCUGCUAGGAUGCUGGCGUAAUGGCUGUAAGCGGCCCGUCUUGAAACACGGACCAAGGAGUCUAACAUCUAUGCGAGUGUUUGGGUGUCAAGCCCGAACGCGUAAUGAAAGUGAACGGAGGUGGGAACCUUUCGGGGUGCACCAUCGACCGAUCCUGAUGUCUUCGGAUGGAUUUGAGUAAGAGCAUAGCUGUUGGGACCCGAAAGAUGGUGAACUAUGCUUGAAUAGGGUGAAGCCAGAGGAAACUCUGGUGGAGCUCGCAGCGGUUCUGACGUGCAAAUCGAUCGUCAAAUUUGGGCAUAGGGGCGAAAGACUAAUCGAACUAUCUAGUAGCUGGUUCCUGCCGAAGUUUCCCUCAGAUAGCAGUAACGUUUUCAGUUUUAUGAGUAAAGCGAAUGAUUAGAGCCCUGGGGGGUGAAACAACUUCACUAUCUCAACUUUAAUAUGUAGAGUCUGUACUGAUGACGUGACAGUGAUGUAUCGUACUAGUGGCAUUUUGUUAGCAGACUGCGAUGCGGAUGAACCGACGCGGGUAGUGCCAGAUUACGCUCAUCGACCCACAACGGUAGUCAUCUAGACGCAGACGUGAUCAUGUAGUCGGUAUCGCUAUGAGUGUUACACUCACUGUCCGA